rnacentral:rRNA from 1 species
UACGGGGGGGGCAAGCGUUGUUCGGAAUUACUGGGCGUAAAGGGCUCGUAGGCGGCUUGGCAAGUCGGGUGUGAAACCUCCAGGCUCAACCUGGAGACGCCACUCGAUACUGCUAUGGCUAGAGUCCGGUAGGGGACCACGGAAUUCCUGGUGUAGCGGUGAAAUGCGCAGAUAUCAGGAGGAACACCGGUGGCGAAGGCGGCCAUCUGAACGGUAACUGACGCUGAGACGCGAAAGCGUGGGGAGCAAACAGG